GGUGGGCUGGCUGAGUGGCCGAAAGCGGCGGUCUUGAAAACCGUUGAGGGUUUGUCCCCUCCCGGGGUUCGAAUCCCUGGCCCACCGCCA
rnacentral:tRNA from 1 species